rnacentral:rRNA from 1 species
CCUACGGGGAGGCAGCAGUGGGGAAUAUUGCACAAUGGGCGCAAGCCUGAUGCAGCCAUGCCGCGUGUGUGAAGAAGGCCUUCGGGUUGUAAAGCACUUUCAGCGGGGAGGAAGGCGAUAAGGUUAAUAACCUUGUCGAUUGACGUUACCCGCAGAAGAAGCACCGGCUAACUCCGUG